CCUACGGGUGGCAGCAGUGGGGGAUAUUGCACAAUGGGGGAAACCCUGAUGCAGCGACGCCGCGUGGGUGAAGAAGUAUUUCGGUAUGUAAAGCCCUAUCAGCAGGGAAGAAAGAAGACGGUACCUGACUAAGAAGCCCCGGCUAACUACGUGCCAGCAGCCGCGGUAAUACGUAGGGGGCGAGCGUUAUCCGGAUUCACUGGGUGUAAAGGGAGCGUAGACGGCCGUGCAAGCCAGGAGUGAAAGCCCGGGGCCCAACCCGGGGACUGCUCUUGGAACUGUGCGGCUGGAGUGCGGGAGGGGCAGGCGGAAUUCCUGGUGUAGCGGUGAAAUGCGUAGAUAUCAGGAGGAACACCGGCGGCGAAGGCGGCCUGCUGGACCGCGACUGACGUUGAGGCUCGAAAGCGUGGGGAGCGAACAGGAUUAGAUACCCGAGUAGUC
rnacentral:rRNA from 1 species